rnacentral:lncRNA from 1 species
GAUUUGCUCUAGGUUUGGGAUUGUUUGGCCAUUUCUCUUUUCUUUCUUUUAUUUAGAAGAGCUUCACUUCAGCUUCUUAUCACUUCAAAUUGCUCUUGGUUAAAUGUUGAAAUGCAAGGUCUAUGAAUUAGAAAAGGGAAGAACAAAUGAAUUAGAAAAGGGAAGAACAAAAUGAAAAGGAUGGGAGGGUUUUUUUUUUUUUAACCUCUUUUUCUUUUUUUUUUUAAAUUUGUACAUGAGGUUUUUUUUUCCUUAUUCUUUUUUUUUUAAUUAUUUUUUAUGUUUAUAAAAGGGAAAUUUUUAUCAUUACUUUAUUUCUUAAAAAGUAAAAUUAACUUUAUUUAUAUUACCAUGGAUG